UGGGGAAUUUUGGACAAUGGGGGAAACCCUGAUCCAGCCAUCCCGCGUGUGCGAUGAAGGCCUUCGGGUUGUAAAGCACUUUUGGCAGGAAAGAAACGUCAUGGGUUAAUACCCCGUGAAACUGACGGUACCUGCAGAAUAAGCACCGGCUAACUACGUGCCAGCAGCCGCGGUAAUACGUAGGGUGCAAGCGUUAAUCGGAAUUACUGGGCGUAAAGCGUGCGCAGGCGGUUCGGAAAGAAAGAUGUGAAAUCCCAGAGCUCAACUUUGGAACUGCAUUUUUAACUACCGGGCUAGAGUGUGUGAGAGGGAGGUGGAAUUCCGCGUGUAGCAGUGAAAUGCGUAGAUAUGCGGAGGAACACCGAUGGCUAAGGCAGUCUCCUGGGAUAACACUGACGCUCAUGCACGAAAGCGUGGGGAGCAAACAGG
rnacentral:rRNA from 1 species